rnacentral:sRNA from 1 species
UGGAUGAUGCUUGGCUUUUAUGUGAGG